UACGAAGGGUGCAAGCGUUACUCGGAAUUACUGGGCGUAAAGCGUGCGUAGGUGGUUCGUUAAGUCUGAUGUGAAAGCCCUGGGCUCAACCUGGGAAUGGCAUUGGAUACUGGCGACCUAGAGUGCGGUAGAGGGGUGUGGAAUUCCCGGUGUAGCAGUGAAAUGCGUAGAUAUCUGGAGGAACGACCGGUGGCGAAGGCGGCAGUCCUGGACCAACACGUGGACGCUGAGUGAGCGAAAGCCAGGGGAGCAAAGCGGGG
rnacentral:rRNA from 1 species